GUAGGUGGCAAGCGUUGUCCGGAAUUAUUGGGCGUAAAGCGCGCGCAGGCGGUCCUUUAAGUCUGAUGUGAAAGCCCACGGCUCAACCGUGGAGGGUCAUUGGAAACUGGGGGACUUGAGUACAGAAGAGGAAAGCGGAAUUCCAAGUGUAGCGGUGAAAUGCGUAGAGAUUUGGAGGAACACCAGUGGCGAAGGCGGCUUUCUGGUCUGUAACUGACGCUGAGGCGCGAAAGCGUGGGGAGCAAACAGGGAUUAGAUGCCCUGGUAGUCCACGCCGUAAACGAUGAGUGCUAAGUGUUAGGGGGGUUUCCGCCCCCUUAGUGCUGCAGCUAACGCAUUAAGCACUCCGCCUGGGGAGUACGGCCGCAAGGCUG
rnacentral:rRNA from 1 species